GACGAACGCUGGCGGCGUGCUUAACACAUGCAAGUCGAACGGAAAGGCCCUGCUUUUGUGGGGUGCUCGAGUGGCGAACGGGUGAGUAACACGUGAGUAACCUGCCCUUGACUUUGGGAUAACUUCAGGAAACUGGGGCUAAUACCGGAUAGGAGCUCCUGCUGCAUGGUGGGGGUUGGAAAGUUUCGGCGGUUGGGGAUGGACUCGCGGCUUAUCAGCUUGUUGGUGGGGUAGUGGCUUACCAAGGCUUUGACGGGUAGCCGGCCUGAGAGGGUGACCGGCCACAUUGGGACUGAGAUACGGCCCAGACUCCUACGGGAGGCAGCAGUGGGGAAUAUUGCACAAUGGGCGGAAGCCUAAUGCGGCAACGCCGCGUGCGGGAUGACGGCCUUCGGGUUGUAAACCGCUUUCGCCUGUGACGAAGCGUGAGUGACGGUAAUGGGUAAAGAAGCACCGGCUAACUACGUG
rnacentral:rRNA from 1 species